GUUGGCUUGGAAGCAGCCAUUCAUUUAAAGAGUGCGUAACAGCUCACUAGUCGAGGAGUUUGGCGUGGAUAAUAAUCGGGCAUUAAGCAAUUUACCGAAGCUAUGGGAUCAGUAAUGAUCGGUAGGGGAGCAUUCCACUCUGCGUCGAAGGUGAAGCGUGAGCUUUGCUGGAGCGUGUGGAAAAGCAAAUGUAGGUAUAAGUAACGAUAAAGGGGGUGAGAAACCCCCUCGCCGAAAGACUAAGGUUUCCUGAUCAACGCUAAUCGGAUCAGGGUCAGUCGGGUCCUAAGGCUCAGCCGAACGGCGAUGCCGAUGGCAGAAACGGUUAAUAUUCCGUUACUACCUUCAGGAGUGACGUGGAGACGCAGUAGUGACAGUGCCGCCAUCUGACGGAAUAGAUGGUUGAAGGGUGUAGGAGUCGAUCAUGGCAGGCAAAUCCACCAUGAGAUCCGAACCUGACAGUAUGCCGCGUCCUUCGGGACAAGGCAAUAGUGCGCGUAAGCAUGCUGCCGAGAAAAUCCGCUAAACUUAAUCCUGCAGGUACCCGUACCGCAAACGGACACACGUAGUCGGGAUGAAUAUUCUAAGGCGCUUGAGUGAUUCACGGUUAAGGAACUAGGCAAACUGACCCUGUAACUUCGGGAUAAAGGGUCCCUACCCUUUUAUGGGAGGGCGCAGAGAAUCGGUCCAGGCAACUGUUUAACAAAAACACAGGGCUGUGCCAAAUCGAAAGAUCCAGUAUACAGCCUGACACCUGCCCGGUGCUGGAAGGUUAAGAGGAGAUGUCAUCGAUAAGAGAAGCGUUGAAUUGAAGCCCCAGUAAACGGCGGCCGUAACUAUAACGGUCCUAAGGUAGCGAAAUUCCUUGUCGGGUAAGUUCCGACCUGCACGAAUGGUGUAAUGAUCUGGACACUGUCUCAACCGUGAGCUCAGUGAAAUUGUAGUAUCGGUGAAGAUGCCGAUUACCCGCGAUGGGACGAAAAGACCCCGUGAACCUUUACUAUAGCUUAUCAUUGAAUCUGGGCACGUGAUGUGUAGGAUAGGUCGGAGGCUUUGAAGCAGGUACGCCAGUAUUUGUGGAGCCGCUGUUGAAAUACGACCCUUUAUUUGUUUGGAUUCUAACCCGUGGAUACGGGGACAUUGAUUGGUGGGUAGUUUGACUGGGGUGGUCGCCUCCAAAAGCGUAACGGAGGCUUCUAAAGGUGCCCUCCGGCCGAUUGGUAACCGGCCUUAGAGUGUAAUGGCAUAAGGGCGCUUGACUGGGAGACUAACAAGUCGAUCAGGUAGGAAACUAGAGCAUAGUGAUCCGGUGUUUCCGUAUGGAA
rnacentral:rRNA from 1 species